rnacentral:tRNA from 1 species
UUUCAGGCAUAGCGGCAUAGAUAGACUCCACUUGCUCCACUCGCUCCACUGACUCCACGCUCACGUUGGCCAACGUCGCCGUAGUGUCGACCGGACUGAAAAACAAAAGCAUUUUUUGGAAUGCUGAGCUACUGACGCUACUUUAGCAUUGCGAAACAUACGGCGCCGGGCCGCUCAGCACGGUUUAUUGUUGUGAUACGACUGUGCGCUUGGUUAGAAGUCGCUUUGCCGUGAAGUUCUUGUGGAGACAGCGAGAACAGCGAAAUAGUGGCGUUGUUUUCUUAACCCAACGAGCGUUUGGAGAGCGCCUCGUUGGUUUGGACGUGGAGGUGCUGGAAGAUUCACCAGUCACGAGGCUCAAGGAGUUGUUCUUUGCUUCAACUGCAAUAUGGACCGUCUCACAUGUGCGAGCGGUAGCAUUUGCUUCAUUCUUCUAUUGGAUGUGGCAAAUGCUGAUGGCGACCUUCAUAAGAGACGCAAAGGUUCCAUAGUAAUCCAGCCGGCAUCGGCAAAAGAAGAAGGGCGUCACGUGGCUCGAUGCGCUCGAACCAGGAGAUCUUUCGCUGCACUUGUUUGGUCGUUAACGCCGAUGGAUAACGGGGAAUGACGCUCAAUCCUUGAACGGUGAGAAAGAAACCUGUUGAUUAUACUCUGACGGCUAUCAUGAUAUCAAGCUUCCUGGCUUUCUUGAUUGUGGUAAGCUGCGUCAUCUUCUGGUGUACGUGGUGGUGUAGACGACAUCGCGGGCUGGGAAUGCUGCAAUCCACCCCCUGUGUGCCACCAUCGUUGAGUCCAGCUCCAGGUCCAGUGGUGUCUGGUGUACCUACCUACGUUCAGCCAGAAACACAUCCUCUCGUACCCGGUGCAUCCACAUCUCUGACUACACUCAGCACACAACAGAAGGGCUUUCGAGAAGAUAGAAGCCCUCCCUACUCCAAGGGUGGAUCCUAUUAUGACCAUAGCGGCACGUCUCUGCCUCAGCUACCCACAGCUCCAAUGCCACCGCCCCCUUAUGGCUACUGAACAAACUAGAAUCGCUUUUACAGAUGCAACAAUCGACUUGCCACUGAGGUGCAGAGGCUAUGCCUCACUAUGCUGCUAAGCUUUAAGUUGAAAGAUUUCACCCUGACGGGAGCACAAUGCAAAAGUUCUAUUGUGGUCAUAGCAGCAUGCCCCUCCCACAGCUGCCCACAGCACCAAUGCCAUGCGAAAGGAAGUGCUCAGAUCCAAAGCAUACUAUAUUGAAACCUAUGCGAAGCAUUUUUUGAAAUGCUUAUAUACAACUGAAUGCGACAUGUACAAUUGCAUUUAUUUUCAUUCUCUGCAACGUGUAGUCAUCUUAGACAAUGUUAAUAGACAACACAGGUCACAAGCUACGCUGAAAUGCAAACACCAGAUAAUGUGGAUCCACAGCCUGAGACAUUGAUGUUACAAUGUCACAAAAGCAGAGGCUAUAGUAUAUGUUGCCUGUGGAGGACCUACGGCUAAAUACAUUUGAGGGUUCCUUGCUACUUGCGCCAAGAUGGCACAAGCAAACACACGAGGAUUGGCCAAAAAGUUCAGUUAAAUAUCGCAUUGAACCACACACUGAGCAGAAGUGAGAGUUUCCAAGUAUAGCUGUUAUCUAUCCAUGGACAGAGAGAAUGUUCUUCAUUGAAAAGUUGAGAGAUGUGCCAGCAUCCGUGGAACAAGUUAGGUGCCUCUCAGUGUGGAAAAUGGAUUGGUGUUGUAUUGGCACCAAGAGAAUAAGCACUGUAAUGAAAAAGAAUUGGGGAUAAAAAAAAAUCAAGGAUGAUUGUCAAAGUAAGUGAAAGUUUUACUGCUUUGUACCAUGUUGUGCUUGUGUUCUUUUCAUGUCGAGUUGAAGCAUUGUCAUUUUGUGUAGCUGUUGCGCGAUUGCAGUCAGAUGUUUGACGACUCAGUCUGUGCCUCACUACAAAUUCGUCCUAUUCUUAUUCCGUUCGGAAGUGUUACAAAACGUGCAUUGUGUCACCAAUUGGUGUUCACCAAUACACAUUAUUAAUGGGAACUAACAGGCAAUAAUGCCAUGCAAAGUAUAGGGGGUGUUAUUUCUAGUAAUUAGGAUAUACAUGUGAAGAAAGUAAAGUGGAUGAAAAGAUUACUUGCCGCCGGCAGGGACCGAACCUGCGGCCUUCGAAUAAUGCGUCCGAUGCUCUACCACUGAGCUACGGUGGCGGUCAUCCUCUCGUUUACUUUAUGGGCUAUAUAUGUAAAUUUAAACCUAGAAGUGUUAGUCAGCGCCGAUCGCAGCCAUGGCGGCGAGUGUGAAACACUUUUUCUGCCUCUUGGAGUCACGUAGCACGGUCCCUGCCGGCGGCAAGUUAUCUUUUCGUCCACUUUACUUUGUUCACAUUUAUAUCCUAAUUACUCAAAAUAACCCCCUAUACUUUCCAUGGCAUUAUUGUCUGUUAGUUCCCAUUAAUAUUGUGUCUAACAAAGAAAAACGAGCCCUUAAAAGUCGCCUUCUUUCCUUCAUCAAUACACAUUGUUAGAUAAGAAUAUCUAACCAAUUUUAUUGCGAAUAAUUGUGUUUAGCUGGAUAAGUGUUUCUGUCCACUGUUGCCGUAUUUACUCGAUUCUACCGCGCCCUCGAUUGUAACGCGCACCCAUUUUUCGUGAGAGAAGUGAAAAGAAGUCCGUAGGAGUCCACCUUCACACAUUCAGAAAAACAAGUAUUUGGUUUUUUAAUGAACUAAAGUUUCAA